CGCUGUGUGGGUGUGUGUGGAGUCUUGUAGCGUAGUGCAGCAUUCCUCUUCGAAGCUUCGUUCUUUUUGCACGUGUCUGUAAUAGAAAGGUCGACCAAUGUUAAUAUAUGAUUUCUCAAUAUCAACCAACAGAGAUCAUCAGCAGAGUGUUUCCAUCCAACUAUCCUUCAAUAUCUGGUUGUUAGUUUGAAAUGGCGGUGAUUGGUUGUACCAUUCGGCGUGCUGACAUUUCGCCCAAUCAGAGUCGUUGCUCUGUGGGUGAGUGCACAGCUUGUAGCAUCGUGCAGCAUUCCUCUUCGAAGCUUCGUCCGUUUUGCACUCUUCUACAGCAGCAUUACAGUUUCGAAGCAUUCCGAAACCAAUGGCUGUCAUUGGACAAUCCAUUCUACGUCUUCUCAUUUCGACCAAUCAGAUUCAUCGCUGCGCGGGUGCGUGCACAGACUUGUAGCAUAACCGAACAUUCGUUUUCGAAACUUCGUUCGCUUUGCACGUGUCUGCAACAGCAUUACAGUUUCGAAGCAUUCCGAAACCAAUGGCUGUGAUUGGACAAUCCAUUCUGCGUCUUCUCAUUUCGACCAAUCAGAUUCAUCGCUGCGCGGGUGCGUGCACAGACUUGUAGCAUAACCGAACAUUCGUUUUCGAAACUUCGUUCGCUUUGCACGUGUCUGCAACAGCAUUACAGUUUCGAAGCAUUCCGAAACCAAUGGCUGUGAUUGGACAAUCCAUUCUGCGUCUUCUCAUUUCGACCAAUCAGAUUCAUCGCUGCGCGGGUGCGUGCACAGACUUGUAGCAUAACCGAACAUUCGUUUUCGAAACUUCGUUCGCUUUGCACGUGUCUGCAACAGCAUUACAGUUUCGAAGCAUUCCGAAACCAAUGGCUGUGAUUGGACAAUCCAUUCUGCGUCUUCUCAUUUCGACCAAUCAGAUUCAUCGCUGCGCGGGUGCGUGCACAGACUUGUAGCAUAACCGAACAUUCGUUUUCGAAACUUCGUUCGCUUUGCACGUGUCUGCAACAGCAUUACAGUUUCGAAGCAUUCCGAAACCAAUGGCUGUGAUUGGACAAUCCAUUCUGCGUCUUCUCAUUUCGACCAAUCAGAUUCAUCGCUGCGCGGGUGCGUGCACAGACUUGUAGCAUAACCGAACAUUCGUUUUCGAAACUUCGUUCGCUUUGCACGUGUCUGCAACAGCAUUACAGUUUCGAAGCAUUCCGAAACCAAUGGCUGUGAUUGGACAAUCCAUUCUGCGUCUUCUCAUUUCGACCAAUCAGACACGUCGCUGCGUGAGCGAGUGCGUCGAUUUGUGGCGCAUUGCGUCAUUCCUCUUCGAAGCCACGUUCGCUUUGCACGCAUCUGCAACAGAAUUGCAGUCGAAUAAAGAAUACAACAUCACAAGUAUGAUAUGAAAUUAUUAAAUGAAUCUUCGCCAAAAUAAAUAAUUAUCAACCAAUGCCAGUAUGCCAACACUCUGCCUAUUAUACUACUCUAUAACAUCAAUCUGCUGAGGAGACCAUUUCCUGAGGAGACCAUCCGCCGGGUGUUUUCGUCCACUUUUCUUCCAAUAGCUGCUCACCGGUUCGGUGAGCCCAAAGAAUUAAAAAUUUCAUUCUUUUUUUAAGUGAGCAUAGUGACCCAUGAGUGAAUGUAUACUCAUGGAAUAUAUAUGUUACAUAUAUUUCAUAUCUUCUUUCAUUUUUAUAUUGUUAUAUUUCUUAGUUCAGGCUAGGGUCUUCUUGUCUCUUUUAAAAAAAUAGUUUGUAGGAUAGAAGUCGGAUGACUCUCCGACUUCACAAAUAAAAUAUAACUUUUAAAAUAUUUUUUUAAUUAAAGGAAAUUUAAAUUUUGAUAGUGUAUACAAAAUUUGUAUAUUUUAUAUGCAGUAAAUAUUACGUAGAUUUGCUACAAUACCUUGAUUAUACUAUAAUAUUUCAAUGCAGUAUAUUAUUAUAUUGUCGAUUUAAAUAAGUUUUAUGAGCAAGAAGACAUUUCGCGACGGUUAGAUUCUAACGUCGAAGUAACAUUUUCGAAUGUACGUUUCAUGCAACUUAGAUAAUUUACUUCGACAUGCAAUCAACCGAGGAUGUAUUACAUGUAUAUUAAUUAUCAAAUUGCAUUUUCAACAGAUACAAUUUUUGCUUAAA